UUGCACCAAAGGUUUGAAUCGCCACAAGAGGUAACGAUUCUAUCACUGAUCAUGCCCAUUCGUAAGGAUCAUUAAAUGGAGAAAUUUUUAAAUUCCGCUGCGCCUUGGGUGGCAAUUAUCCUUCACAGAGAAGGUGACCUUGUGCUCAAGAAGAUUUUAUCUUUAAAACCAGAUGCUAGGGGAAAAUGGACUUCUAAUUAUGAAGGCCCAUAUGUUGUUAAGAUGGCCUUUUUAGGUGUUGCUUUGAUUCUUACAACUAUGGAUGGUGAAGAGUUCACGCGUCCUGUGAAUAUCGAUGCAUUCAAGAAAUACUUCGCCUAAAAAGAAAAGAACAACUCGCUAAGUUGAAAACCCGAAAGGGCGACUUAGGAAAAAAUGAGCGACUUGGUGGAUUGAAAACCCGAAAGGGCGAUCCAGGAAAAAGUUAGAGACAUAAAACAGAAAAUUUUAUCUCGAUAAAUUGAGUACCCCGCCUUGGGGAAAUUUAUGCAAAAAUUAGGGAUUAUGGCAAGUAACUGCAUCCUGUUGAUUGUCAGUUUUGAAGACAUUCUUGAGCACGUCAUUGGAUUCUGACCGAAGCCAAGAGCACAAUGGAUAUCAAAGUUGGUAGAAGGAUUAGUGAUCAUUAUAUUCAAUUUAGACCUUUUCCAUGUAAAUUACCAUUUUUCAACUUUAUUUUUCUAUUAAAUAAAGUUGAGCUUUUUAUCCAAUUGCUUCUACUCUUAUUUAUUUCAGCUAAAUAGAAUUAAAUUUUAUGAUGAUCAUUUUUUAAAUUGAAUUUAAAAAUUAAAAUCAUGUUUUUCUUAAAAUAAUAAAAGCAAUUACUUUUCAAGAGCAAUCGAUUUCAUUUAAGGAACAUCAAACAACAGUCUGAGAGGAUGUAAGCCCCAAAAUGUGAAUCAUUAUUGGUCUUCCCCCAAGCAGUUGGUUCAGUCAUCUUUUCCGAACGGUAAUUCAACAUCUCCAGCCGAGUUUGUAAUUGCCUCCCUCGAGUUGUAAGCACAUUAUCUCAGCAGUUUGCAUAGAUUCAACACAGAUUGUUACUCCCCUCAGGUCGUCGAUAGAAUUUAUGGCUGAUCCCUAUUAGCACUGAUUCUUGAGAAAUAUUUUUGGUCCUCUGCAAGGUUGUCUCCCAUUUUAUAUGGUGUUGACCUAAAAUAUCCCGCAAAGUUGAUGAUGCAGAUCCCUGGCAAUUUAUCCUCUCUCCCCUCAGUCGGGGACGAGCCUUUGAGAAGAUCCCUGGCAAUUUAGCAUCUCUUUCUCCAGUUGUUGCUUCCAUCCUGUUGAGAUUGGCGGAGUAUGGUAUCAAUGAUUCAUAUUAGUGACAUUUAUAUCCUUGUGAUUGUUUUGUCAGCAUAAUCAUCAUAUAUACAUAUACAUAUACAUCCAUAGAUUUCAUCAUUGCAUUAUUAUUGUGUUUCUGUGAUUCAUUCUAUUUCUGAUCCUCUGCUAUGGUGGUAUCAUCUUCCCCCUCACAGAUUUGGUGUGUCUGUCCUCUUUCAAUUGUAGAAUGUCACCCCCCUUAGGCAAAAAGAAUUUAACCUUUCUCAUUCCCCACUGAGUUAUUUCCUCGUGGAUGAUCAUUAUUUCAGCUUCCUCCCUAGUUGAUUAUCUGGAUGGAACCACUCCCCCUGAGUUAUAUCCUCAUUGGGUUGAGUCUUUUAUUGACUUUUUAUUUCUAGAUCUUGCCUAGAUAGAUACUUUGAUCCCCCGAGAGUCUGUUACCAAGUAAAUGGUAAUAUUCUUCUCGAUUUGUGAGUACUUUACUUUUGCCCAAUACCCGGUAAACGUAAUCUACUUCCUUUAUGUUCCCUAGCGGAUCCGUUUUCACAUUUCCCAGGAAGUUUAUCCUUUAUAUGUUCAUCUUGACCGAUGACAGAUGUUCUUCCCUUUGAGUUUAUCCUUGAUAUGUUCAUCUUGACCGAUGACGAAUGUUCUUCCCUUUGAGUCUAUCCUUGAUAUGUUCAUCUUAACCGAUGACAGAUAUUCACGAUGACAGAUGUUCUUCCCUUUGAGUUUAUCCUUGAUAUGUUCAUCUUGACCGAUGACGAAUGUUCUUCCCUUUGAGUCUAUCCUUGAUAUGUUCAUCUUAACCGAUGACAGAUAUUCCUCGUUCUGGUUUUCUACCCAAUAACAAGGUAGUUAUAAUCCCUAUUUCAUUCUCCAGAGGGCUAAUCCUUGAUAUGUUCAUCCUAACCGAUGAUGGGUUUCCUCCUCUUUGCGGUCUUCUUCCCAACAACCGAUAGUCGUAAAUCCCAAUUCUCCCUUGGAGUCUAUCCUUGAUAUGUUCAUCUAAACCGAUGACAAAUAUUAUCUUUUUGGUAUUCUAUCCAGUAACUGAUAGAUGUAAUUCCUACUUUUUUCCGGUAGUCUAUCAUUGAUAUAUUCAUCUCAAUUGAUGACGGAUAUUCUUUCCGUUGAGUCUAUCCUUGAUAUGUUCACUUUAACCAGUGACAGGUAUUCUCCUCUUUGCGAGCCUCUGCCCAGUAACCGGUAGUUGUAAACCCUAUUUGGCUUUUCCCAGUUGGUUAUUAUUACCCAGUAACUGGUAAUGAAUACAUCUUCUAUUGCCCUCAACGAGUCAUCCUUGAUAUGUUUACCCUAACUAGUAAUGGAUGUCCUCUUUGUCAGAUUGUGUUAUCUCCUUACCCAAUAACCGGUAGUGGAUAAUAUACUUUUGUUACUCCUGUAUCGAAGAUCUUUUCUUCCCCAGUUGAGUUCGAGUGCGUAUUUACUCAGUGAAAUUGUCGUUUCCUAUUUGGUUCGGGCAUUUAAGCUUUGUUCUGAUUUACCUGUUUCCCCUGCAGAUUUUUCCUUUUAUCCCCGACUGAGUCUUUCCAUUGAUUUAUUUUCAUGGAAUCCCUCGUGUCCCCCAGCAGAUUUAAGUCAUAGCCUGACCUACGCACAACUUUUUACUCCCCUAGAGUCUCUGUCUCCCCGAUGAGUUUUCCUUAUGGAGAGCAUUGUGCUCCUGCGGACUUUCAGUCUCUCCGGAUUCUUUUCCUUUGUGGCAACAUUUACCCACAAAUAUUAUUUUGUAACAUUUCAUAUCAUAUGCAUCAUGAGGUAUCUUAGGGACCAAACUUUGCUUCUAUUGUUAUUAUUUAAGUCCAUUCUACUGAGUCGAUACGGAGAUCUAAACCUUCAUCGCCUCAGUUAGAACGUCCUUAAAUAGGGGCAGAUGUAAGACCCUGAUUUUGACCAUAAGACCCCUCAUGAUAUCUCAUCAUAUGCAUUAGCAUUGGGAUCACACCUUGGUAUCCUCCUUACCCCUCACUCAUUGGGUUUUCAUUGGGAGAGAUCGCCAAGCAUAAUUUGAUUGUAUCAUACUUUGUUUUUCAUUAUUUACUAAUCAAAAUGCCAAAAAUAUAUCAAUGUAUAGUUUGUUGUUUUUGUUGGUAGUAUGUGUGCUCACCUAUGCUCUAUCAAGCUCAUAACUAGGGUUUGAGACUCUCAAUACAAGGAGCUCAAUCAAGAGAUGGUUCAUGUUGGCUCUAAGUAUCAUAUAUGGAUCCCCAUGAUCUUCACAUGCUACUUUGAUCAAUAAAUCAUCAAGAGUUGGAGUUUGUUUGCCUUAGAAACCCUAACUCAUCUGGGUAUCUUGUGUGACUUCUUCAACAAGUUUCUUCAACAAUUGAUCAAAUAUUUCAAGGGAUACUUCACAUUACAUCAUCUUAUGCAUAUAUGAUCCUCCAUGAGUCCCAAAAUUCAAGAUAAUGUCAAGCUAGCAAGAUGGUUCAUGGUGGUUGAUCAGAGAAAGUCAACUGGUCAAAACUGGGGUUCCCUAGACCAUAUCUCCUACAAUUUGUGUCAUAUGAAAAUGAUUCCAAGAUUAAAGUUACUCUAAAUGACAUUCCAAACAACUUUAAUGUUGAAGUAUAGAGCUAGUUUUUCUUGGAAAGUCAUUUUUUAUGGUGAAAGAUUAUAGGUCAUUUUGUCUGAACCCUAGUUUGGAGGUCAACUUCCCAAGAUCAUAACUUGCUCAAUUUUUAUGAUAUGAAAGCCAUUAAAAUUCCAUGAUCAAAUUCAAGAUAUAUAAUUCAAAUUUUAUGUUUGGAGGGAGUGCAAAUGCAACUUGCAAAUGCAUGUUCCAAGAGGAAACAUUAUAGGUCAUUUUGAGCCACUACCAUUGAACAAGUGAUUUUCCUCAACUUCUAAAAUGCAUAACUCCUUCAUUCCAAACCUAAAUGAGGUCAAAUUUGUGACCAAAUUAAAGAGGUGUGAAAUAUAUACAACUUUGGUGAAGGAACAUUUCUCAUUUGAAGUCCAUAUAAAAAGUUAUUCAAGGUGGAAGAAGUGAACAUUUGACUUGGGACUUAGAAAAUUUUCAAAAUAUGUUUGAUUUCCCAAACUUACACCUCAAAAUUAAUCAUGAUCCAAGCCUCAAAUGAAAAAGUGUUCAACAUGAACGUUGUUCCCCUUGAUCUCACCUUUCCAAAAAGUCCAAGAUCAUCUCAUUUGGAUCAAAAUUGAGGGACUUGUACAUGGCUUCAUUGUGGGAAGUGUUUUGGCAAGAUUUGAACUCAAAUGAUCAAACUCUUUUGCAUGCUUCCACAUGAUGGAUUCAGUACCCUUUUCACACGAAUUGGAAGUGUAUUUCAUCAUUCAUAAGGCCCAAAUCAUUGCCCAUGCUCCCAUGCAAAGAAGUUUCUAAAAUUGGCCAAAUUUCAAGUGGUGCAAAUAUCAAGUGUUAUUGCCUAUUUAAACAAGCUCAAGGCUUCAGAAUCAGGAUGAACACCUGGCCUAAUCUUUGCUAGACUAAUUCAAACCAUCACUGCCAUAGAAUUUUUGAAGAUUUCUCUUGAAAUCGAGCUUGAACUUCAUCUUUUGUUUGGAAUUUCAAACUCCAUAAAUUCACUUCCCUUUUCAUCUCAAUUGGCUUCUGCAAGCAAGAGGAAGAGAAAGCAAUCAAAUCAAGAUCAAGAUCAAGUGGAAUUGGAUCAACUCGAGUGUAAUUUUUCAGAAACUUCAGUUCUAUCAAUGUAGGCAAGAAGAUUAAGUUGAUUUGAGGUCAAAUCGAAGCAACUCAGUUCUUGAUCCUCAAAAUUCAAAUCCAUGUAUCUUUUUAUAUACUUGGAAUUGGACAAAAUUGAGGCCAAAUUCGAGCUCCUAAGCAUUUUUUCUUUAAAUCCAUGUCUUGCUUUUUCAUUUUGGUGAUGGUUGAUGGUGGACAAGUCCGGUAAGGUCCACCAGAGAAGAAGACCGGAGCCCUAGAUCCGGUUAUGUGUUGUCACACAUCUCAGCCAUAUGAUCCAGUUUAAACGUUUUAAUCUCGUGCGUUGCUUUUGAUUACCACGUAUGUGGAAUAGUUGAUUGAAGCGCAUGUGGAACACGCUUUUCCAUCCAUCUGAUAUGUCACCUCAAUUAAUGAGGGAGAUCAGAUGACUCUCCUUUUUUUGAAUUUUUGAAUAUUUCAUUUAAUUGCUUUAUUUUAAUUAAUUCAUAUUAAUUUCAUUUUUAAUCCAAAAAAUAUGGGACUUUCACGAAAAAAAUUCAAAUAUGUUUCUCUUUCAUUUUCUGAAUUAAAAUUAUUUUUUGGAUUAAUUUUGAUAUUUUCCAUGAAUUAAUUGUUUUUGUGCAUAUUUUUAAUUGUUUAAAAAUACUUCUGACUUUUCAAAAAUAAUGAAUUUUUUUGUCCAAGGUCCCUUGACCUUAUUUGACCUACGAUAAAUCUCUUGGCCAUUUAUUUGGUGUUUUGAAGUGGUUUUAGGUUUUUGAUCAAACAUAAUUAAAUUUAAAUGUAUUUUAAUUUGAUUUUUAAUUGAUUAAUUAUGUAGAAAUCAUGUUGAGCCAUUUUUAUUGACUUGUGAAGUUUGAUUUUAUGUUUGGGCCUUGGUCAAUGUUGAUUUGACUUUUGUUGGAUUAAAAUUAUUGGAUUUAGGGGAUUGAUGAAAUGUACAUUUCAUCUCCCAAAAUGAAUGAAUGAUUUUAAUUUGAUAAAAUUCCUCCCAUGACCAAUUUGUGUUUGUCUCAUCUCCCAUUUGUUGGAUUAAAAUUAUUGGAUUUAGGGGAUUGAUGAAAUGUACAUUUCAUCUCCCAAAAUGAAUGAAUGAUUUUAAUUUGAUAAAAUUCCUCCCAUGACCAAUUUGUGUUUGUCUCAUCUCCCCCCUAUUCAUCUUCAAUCCCAUUCUAUCCCACCCCUUCCAUUGACCAAUGAAUUCUCAAUAUCCUAAGGCUAAUUGGUUCAUCAAUAACUUCAUGUUAGAUGAACCAAUACAAGUAUGAAUGAGAUUAGGUCCAUCCUCUGAUCAUUUUCUUUUUGUGUGUGGUAUGUUUUAGGAGUAUGGUUCAUUAUACCAUAUCUCUAACAUGCAUUAACACCAAAAACUCUAUUGCCCGACCUAUGAUAGUUGUGACUUCUACAUAAGUCCAAUUACGAUUGCUUAACACAUCACUAAUUUGACCCAAAGGCAUAGCAUUCUAGUAAGUGAGAUUGUAAGUCUCCCCCCUUUCAUGGUAUUGUGUGGAAACUUGGUCUUUUUUCCUUCCUUUGGAAGAUGUCUUGGUUCAAGGAUCCAUGCUUGUGAAUAUAGGGUUGAGUAUUCUCCAAAGAAUGACUUAAUCAAUUGAAAAGCAAAACAUCACUAACAUCUAAUCAACUAACACUUGACUAACUUCUAUUAUUAUUGAUUUUAAUUUCAAGUCAUUUACCUUAUGCCAUUUAUAUUCAAGUCAUUUACCAUUUCAUUUGCCAUUUACAUAUCAUUUAACUUGUUUAUGUUUAUGCCAUUUUUACUUUGCUCACUUGAGCCAUAUAAUAAUUUCAAGUCAUUUACCUUAUGCCAUUUAUAUUCAAGUCAUUUACCAUUUCAUUUGCCAUUUACAUAUCAUUUAACUUGUUUAUGUUUAUGCCAUUUUUACUUUGCUCACUUGAGCCAUAUAUUGCGAUUGUAUAUAUUUGUUUGUGUAUCAUGUUUGUGUUUGUGGUCUUAGGACCCUAAAAUAUCUAAUAAACAACAAAAACCCUAAAAAAUGUUUGUGUGGACUGUUGGAUUUGACCUGAGAUUUGGACUUAGAAUCAGGCAACAUUCCCUAUGCAAAAGGACUUGGCCAAUGCCAACAUUUAUGAAGCCAAGCUAUUAUGAUUUGAGCUUUCAUCUGAUACAAGUAUUGGGAUCCACUUGAGUUCAUCUGCUACAUGGUCUUGAUGCAAAGGUUACUUUGAGCCUGGAUCUAAUGCCUUAUUCUGAGUCAUUCAAGGAGUAUUUCAUCUGAUACAUGGGAAGAUUAAGAAGAAAACUAUGAAGUUGCUAGCUUGGAUGUGGCUAUCUUUAUUUGAUGUCUUGCUCUUCAUCUUGCUACUUGUUUAUUGAUAUUGCUUGAUUCUAAAGUCCAAAGGAAAAAUGGGUUUCUAUAUGACAUUCUUGUCUGUUGGAUUGCAUCCUAUUGGUCAGAUCUUUUCAACUCUUAACUUUUAAUUUUUGCGUAGGAUUAGUCUCUCCAUCUCCUCCAAUUUCUUAAAUUUCAAAUCUCUCCCCCCUCUUAACUUAUGCCAUUUCAUUUUUAAACUCUUUUCUAAAUCAAACUUGUAAAUGAACUUAACCAUAUUGACUUAAAACUUCAAAAGACAAAAAGAACUAACACUCAUUAAAACUCUUUUAGGCCCUUUGUGCCUCUUUUUUUAAAUUUAAAAUUUUGUUAAAAGCAAUCCACUCAUUUUGAAAUUGAUACCACGAAGUACGAGGUUUUGAUCCCUCAUUUUUAUGUUUGCACGUAGGCAUAAGUCCGAAGGUCUUAUCAAACACAAAAAUAUAAUUAAUGAAUUCUUUUCUCAUCCCCACACUUUAUUUAUUACAAACAUCAUUUUAUAUCAAAAACACAUACACACAUAAAAAAGGGCUCCCUAGGAGUACCUAGGACACUUUUGGUGCUAACACCUUCCCUCUGUGUAACCCCCUUACCUGUAAUCUCUGGCAUUUUAUUAGUUUUGGUUUGAAAACUUCUUAUCUUUGGGUUUUGUUCGUGCUUUUCCCUUUUCCUUUGGAAACAAUAAAAGCGCGAUGGCGACUCUGGUUUUAUUGACGUUAAGCUUAUCCAUAGCUUAAUGGUCAUGAAUUUACCGCUACACAUAGCUCAGAUCUCUUCAGGAGUCAAUCAAUCUGGGGCAACCAUGUUGAGAUUCCACUAAUCUCUCAGAAUCAGUCGGAUAGGGGCAAACUUACUUCAAGGCUCAUAUUAGGGCAGGCCACCUCAAGACCACGAGAAGUCAAUCACUCCCAAGAUGGUUAAUUAAGAGUAUACAGUUUCGAGACGCUGGGGCAAGUCAGGUUGAAAUCUUUAGAUGAUGAUACUACUCAACAACUUUAACUAGGGUAUUUGGUGCAAAUAUUCAGCAUAUUGGGCAAAGGCAGACUACACAGGUACAAGCUCUCUCCAUGUUUCAGAUACAAUCCAGAGGUGUGACAACAACUAUUUAGCUUGAAGUAGGUGUCGAAGAAUCAUGUCUAUAUGACCUUAUCCUAGCCCAAAAUUCCCACCUCCCUCUAUAUGAGCAUUUGGGUUAACUAUUGCAUAAAUCAUCAUUAUGUAGAAAUCACGUCGCUUAACUCAUGCAUAUCAUUCAUCUAUCAUAGCAUGAAGCCGUAUAUGCAAAUCAAAGGAAUCAAAGCCCAAUAUUUUAUUGGCAUCUACCUAUUCCAAACUUGCCUGGUACCUGUAAGACCCCAAUUUUGACCCUAAGAUCCCUCAUGCUAUCUCAUCAUUUGCAUUAGCUUUGGGAUCACACCUUGGCAUCCUUCUUACCCCUCAUUCAUUGGGUUUGCAUUGGGAGAGAUCACCAAGCACAUUUAAUUGUAUCAUACUUUGUUUUUCAUUAUUUACUAACCAAAAUACCAAAAAUAGGUCAGUGUAUAGUUUGUUGCUUUUGUAGGUAGUGUGUGUGAUCACCCAUGAUCCACCAAGCUCAUAUCUAGGGUUUGAGACCCUCAAUGUAAGGCGAAUAAUAAAUAGAUGGUUCACAUUGACUCUAUACAUCAUAUAUGGAUCCCCAUGGUCUUAACAUAUCAUUUUGAUCAAGAAUUCAUCAAGAGUUUGAAGCUUGUUUUCCUUGGAAGCCCUAAUUCAUCUGGGUAUCUUGUGUGACUUCCUCAUCAAGUUUCUUCACCAUUUGAUCAAGAGAAUGUCAAGUUUGCAAGAUGGUUCAUGGUGGUUGACUAGAGAAAGUCAACUGGUCAAAACUGGGGUUCCCUAGACCCUAUCUCCUACAGUUUUGUCAUGUGAAAAUAAUUCCAAGAGAAAAGUUACUUCUUAUGAUAUUCCAAACAACUUUCAUGUUGAAGUCAAGAGCUAAUUUUCCUUGUAAAGUCAUUUUUUUAUGGUGAAAGAUUAUAAGUCAUUUUUUCUAAACCCUAGUUAGGAGUUCAAUUUCCAAGGACCAUAACUUGCUCAUUUUUUAUGAGAUGAAAGUAAUUCAAGUUUCAUGAUCAAAUUCAAGAUGUACUUUCCAAAUUUAAUGUUUGGAAUAAGUUCAAAUUCACCUUGCAAAUGUAUGUUCCAAGAGGAAACAUUAUAGGUCAUUUUGGGCCAUUACCAUUGAACAUGUGAUUUUCCUCAACUUAUAAAAUGCAUAACUCCUUCAUGCCAAAUCCAAAUAACAUCAAAUUUGUGACCAAUUUAAAGAGGUUUGAAAGAGCUAUAACUUUUAUGAAGGAACUGUUUCCAUUUGAAGUCCAUAGAAAAAGUUAUUCAAGGUGGAAGAAGUGAACAUUUGACUUGGUACUUAGAAAAGUUUCAAAUAUGUUUGAUUUCCCAAACUUCCACCUCAAAAUUAAUCAUGAUCCAAGCUUCAAAUGGAAAAGUGUUAAACUGGAAAGUUGUUCCCCUUGAUCUCACCUUUCCAAAAAGUCCAAGAUCAUCUUAUUUGGCCAAGAAAUGAAGGACUUGCACAUGUGUUCUUUUCAAAGGACCAAUUGGAUGAAUUUCACCUCCACAUUUCAAAUUCAAAUGCAUGGCCACAUGAAAUGAUUUCAGCAUUGUACUCAAGAAAUUUUGGACAUGAAUGAAGGUGAGAAAAACAAGAAAGGGGGGUUUGAAUUGUUUUGGAAAUAAAAAACUUUUUUAAAGAAUAAGAACACACAAAAUUUUAUACUAGUUCGCUUAGAAAACAAAGCUACUCCAGUCCACCCGGACAAGGUGAUUUCUCCUUCAAAAAGGACUUAAUCCACUAAUCUUGAAAGAUUACACAACCAAUCGUCUAAGAGAAUAAUCUCUUAGCCCUCUCAAGUAUACAGAUUGCGUAGAGUCACUUGAGGAACAAAGAUAAUUUAAGCAAAAUAAAGUUGUAAUGAAAAGUGCUUCUAAGAGUAAGCGAGUAUUACAGCAAAGUAUUAGAACAAGAGUUUUUCACGUAAGAGCAGCAGCUCGUGAAAAAUGAGAGAGAAUAAGAAUGAAGUUUCUGUGUGUUGCAGGUGUGUCUCUCUAGUGAGGUAAGUUGUCCUUUAUAUAGUAGUUGAGAAGGACCGUUGGAGUGAUGACAGAAUCUUGGUCUUUGAUGAGUCUUCAAUGUCAUUACUUUUAUGUUUCUUUCUAUAACUAUUUUGUCUCCCUUUUAAAUUCUUUAUUAAAAUACUUCCUUUCCAUGGUGAGAAUUAUUUCCGUUAUGCUUUUUGGACUUGUGAAUCUUUAUCAGAGUCUUGAUGUACCAGAGUUAUUCUUCAGAGGGUGAUCACGUCUGACUUCAUCAGAGCUUCUCAGAGUACUAGUCUUCUUGAUCAUCAGAGUCUAAGAACAAUAAUUUGUUGGAGCUUCUGAUUCUUUUUACUGUCUUUCUUUGAUCAGAAUCAGAACUUCUUGGACGUACUUCUUCCUUAGCGGCGUCUGAUCCUCUAGCACUUUGUAUCUAACACAUGUUUGUAUCUGAUGAAAGAUCAUAAACCUUCGCUAUUGUUCAGAGUCCUGCAUGAAUGUUUAGAGUCCUGCAUACUUAGAAAAAUUCUCGUUAGAGUGCCAUUUUUGGUUUCAUCCUUUGUUAUCAUCAAAAUCUCAGAAAUCUAUUGUAGAACCAAUUUUUUUCUUACAAUCUCCCCCUUUUUGAUGAUGACAAAACAAUUUAAGUUAGAAAUGAAACAUUUUCAGAAAAGAGUCUUAGAUUAGAUUUGUAGUGAGCUCCCCCUGAGUUAGAUUUGGGAGUUCAGAAGUUCUUACCGGACCUUCCACGAUUUGGUGUUUCUAGCUACUUUCCUGCAUAACUUUAAGUCAUAUUUAGAGACAAUGUUUGUAGAGAUUGAAAGGAAAUUAGAUAUGUUUUCAUCAGAGUUGUUUUUAGUUCUCCCCCUUUUUUUCAGAAUCAAAAAGACUUAGUAAAAAUAUUAGCAAAAUAUUGAUAUAUACAGGUAACAGUUACAGAAGCCAGAAGCACAGAAAGCAAACAUGGAAAAAAGAAGCAACAAGCAAAUCAGAUAAGGCAAAAAGCACAUCAGAAAGAACAAAAAAAGCCUAGGUGCCUAAGGGUUUGGAGGAGGAGGCAUCCUCUAGAGCAGCUGGGACAACAUGUUCUGAAUGUUGGCAUUGACAAAAUCCUGUUGGUCCAGUCUGGCUCGAACUACCUAUUGUUCUUUCUGCAGCUCUUCAAGGGUCUUCAGGACCAGAGGAACGAAGGUGGAGGACUCCCCCUGAGUCAAUGCAUCAUUUCUGGCAGCAGACUUUUCAGCAAGACGAGUUGCUUCUUUAGCGGCAACUUUGGCUUUUGCCUCAGUUGGAGCUUUGGCCUCGGCUUCUUUGAUACUCUGAAGUUCUUCUUGCCUUGCUUUCUCUUUAGCUUCCUUUCUUGCCCACUUCUCAGAUUCUCUGGCUAGACGCUCCUGGAGUCUGAUCUCAGCGUCUCUGAUGAAGUCAUUGUGGACUUGUUCAGAGAGGCCUUUCAGCUUGAAGGCUUCAGAAGUCAUCCAACUUAUCACUAUGUUCCAGUGAGUCCUUAUAGCGGAGGGAUCAUCACUGAUGCCAGAGUUGAUGGUCAGAGACCUGACCUUGUCAACUGAAGCUUCUGCAAACAUCUUAAUUGCUUCCUCAAGGGUCAGUAGGGUGUUUUCUGGUUCAGAGGCUUGGGAUGGAGAAGUGGGGGGCUUAAGUUAAGAGUGGGAGUUGGUGGGUCAGCGGAGGUAGUUGGUUGGGGUAUUUUAGAGUGUUGUGGUUGGGAUGGUUGUGAUUCAGAGUGGAUUGGUUUGGAUGGUGGAGGGUCAGAGGUGGUUGUGUUUGGGUUUUCUGUGGGUGGAGAGGUAACUUCUGGUUCAGGGUUAGAUUGUGUUGGCUGUUGAGAGGCCAGAGCAUGGUUUUGAAGCUGAGCCAGAGUUGUGGAGUGAGGGUCAGAGGGUUCAGUCUCAGAUGAGAGGGUGUAAUAAGGUGGGGAUUAUGGAGAUGAUGAUGAGGAGGGUGAAGUGGUUUCGUUCAGCAUUUCCGCUUCUGAAAUGGGUAGAGAUAUGGUGGCAAGAUUGAAUUUUUGAGAAGGUUGGUUAGAUGGUCUAGAGGUUAAGGGAGGAGUUUAAGAGUUUGUGUAUAUGGGCGAAGGUUGAGGGAGUGAGGAAGCAACUGGUUUAACUUUUACAGAAUGAGGGAGAGGUACAGACUUACCAGGUGAUCCAACCAGAGGUACUGGAGGUCUUGAUCCAGAUGGUUCUCCCAACUUUUCUCUCCUCGCCUGCUUUGUCUUCUCAGAUGGUUCUCGUGUCCUCUUCAUGAAAUCUGGAGGAAAUUCGGGCAGCCAAUCUAAGGAGAAAUCUGAGAUGUCUACUCCUUGUUUGCGCAGAUCAUCUAAGUAGUACAUGACUACCUCUGGAGGGUCGAUAUUUGAGAACAAAUAGAGUCUAUUUGGGAUCUUCCUCUGAUCUUUGAGUGCUUCCCAGGAGAUGUCCAAGGUUGGUUUGACCCUUAAUUGAUUAAUAAUUCCCAUGCUCUUCAGAUUGCGAGCGUUCAGAGGCCUUCCAGUGUCUAUCAUCACGUCUUCCAUGAGUUUGAGCUGUAUCAGAUGGUCCACGAGGCCACUUUCAAUCAGUACAUCAGAGAUAAGUCUCCCCAGAGGAAUGUAGUUUCUUGUCUUCAUGUUGUUUUUGGUAUCUUUCACGGAGUUUCUGAGAUAUUUGAAGAGGAGUGCAGGAAGGCAGAGCUUCAGACCCUUGUGAAUGCAGUACAGAAUGCAUUUCUGGUCUGUGUUGAUGUAAUCUGAGGAGUUUGAGGCUGGGCGAUGAUGGAUGGUGCCUAAGAUGAUCUUCAGCCAUACACGGAGGUUCUGAUGCAGUUCCUUGUUCUUGGAGUGAUUGCCUUCAGCACUCUAUUGAAAGAUUGUAGGGUUUAUCUCAUGGGACAGAUACUUUGCCCUAGGAUUGAUGUUGUAUAUGCGUCUUCCUCCAGCCUUCUCCAUGUUCAGAAGAGAAGCAAUUGAUUUUUCUGUGAUGACUAUCUUGACUCCCAGAACGUAGGAGACAAUGUAGUGAUCAUCAGCGUCAGCGAAUCUCCAGAAUUCUUUUACCAGAUUUGUGUAGACUAGGCCAUAGAGACGUUGGAAGUAGUUUUCCCACCCUUGCUUCUUCAGUUCAUCAGUGAGGUCGACACCAUUUCUUCUCAUGUUGUCAAAAUCCACCAACGUUUCACACAACACUUCCAGCUUUUCAAACAGUGUUGCAAGAUGGAUAUGAGGCUCACGAUCAAGAAUGUGAGGUUCUUUGUAAAUGGGAAAGGAGACGACGCCGGUGACUGCUGGGUUUUGAUGGCUUGAACUUGGAGCUUGCUCAUUCGAGUUCAUUUGUUGAGAGAAGUUAUACACAGACUGUUGUUGAGAAUCCAUGAAGAUUGUUGAUGAACUUGAGGUGAAAGUUGAAGAACUUGAGUAAUCACUGCAGAAAUGCCUUUGAGAGAGAGAGGAAAACUGAAGGAGAGGGUUAGGAGUAUUUGUGAGUGAAAAGUGUGCAAUUGUGAAAUGAAGCGUUUAAAUACCCAAAUUAGAGAGCAUGCCAAACGACACACAUAAUUGAGUUUAGCAUAAAAACCAAGUACGCACGUUAGAGGGAGAAUGAUUAUAGCUCAUAAAUGAUGUCUAAUCCCAAAAUCAGCACAUUGCUCGAGGAGAUCUCAAGAGACUGUUUCUUGAUUACUGCUAGACAGCUGUCUAGAAGUUCCAAGGUCAGACGCAUGAUGCUCCACGUGUUACUUUAUUUGAUCUUCAGAAAUACCAAAGGGUUGGUUCCUAGAGAUUUCUAACUCAGAUGACUUCUAACUGGUAGUAGCAUUAGAGUCAGAUACAGAAUCCAACUGUUUACAUCAGAGUCAUAUUUUGCUAUCUCAGAGGCACAUUUUAUUUAGGGCAAAUUUGAAUGUUCAGAUUCUUUAAGAUAAAGGAGAAUCUAUCUUCAGCAAGGGGUUUGGUAAAAAUGUCAGCCCAUUGAUAGUCUGUAUCUAUAAACUUUAACGUUACUACCCCUUUCUGAACAUAGUCUCUAAUAAAAUGAUGUUUUAUUUCUAUGUGCUUAGCUCUGGAGUGCAAAAUAGGAUUCUUACUUAAACAGAUGGCAGCAGUAUUGUCACAAAAGAUAGGAAUGUUACUCUCAAAGAUUUGAAGAUCCCCUAGUUGAUUCUUCAUCCAGAGCAUCUGAGUGGUGCAUAAUGAUGCUGAAAUAUAUUCUGCUUCUGCAGUGGACAAGGCUAUGGUUAAUUGUCUUUUGUUGGCCCAGGAUAUCAGAUUUUUCCCCAAGAGCUGACAAUUUCCAGAUGUACUCUUACGUUCCAUUCUGUCCCAUGCGUAAUCUGCAUCACAAUAACCAGAGAGUUUAUACUUUGAUGUUUUCUCAUACAUCAGGCCCAUGUUAGGAGUUCCUUUCAGAUAUCUAAGUAUUCUUUUAACAGUUAUUAAAUGAGAUUCUCUAGGAUUUGAUUGGAAUCUGGCAUAGAGACAAACACUAAACAAAAUAUCAGGACGUGUAGCAGUCAGAUAGAGAAGAGAGCCUAUCAUACCACGAUAGAGCUUCUGACAACCCUUCUGACUAACUUCUUAUUUUUCCAGAAUGCAAGCUGGGUGCAUGGGUGUCUUAGCAGGUUUGCAUUCCUCCAUUUCGAAUUUCUUCAGAAUGUCUUUUAUGUAUUUACUUUGAUGAACAUAGGUGGCUUCUGAAGCUUGAUUGAUUUGAAUUCCUAGAAAGAACUUUAGUUCUUGCAUUAAGCUCAUUUCAAAUUCAUUCUUCAGAAUGUCUUUUAUGUAUUUACUUUGAUGAACAUAGGUGGCUUCUGAAGCUUGAUUGAUUUGAAUUCCUAGAAAGAACUUUAGUUCUUGCAUUAAGCUCAUUUCAAAUUCUGCCUGCAUUAGCUCAGACAAUUCUUGACAUACAGAGGGGUUAGCUGAACCAAAAAUGAUGUCAUCAACAUAUAUCUGGCAUAUCAUGAGGUCAUUAUUAAUGUUUUUACAGAAGAGUGUAGAGUUAACUUUCCCUCUGAUAAAAUCAUGUUCCAGAAGAAAAUUACUUAGCCUUUCAUACCAAGCUCUAGGAGCUUGUUUUAGCCCGUAUAAAGAUUUCUUAAGUUUAAACACAUGUUUUGGACAAAUUGAAUUUUCAAAACCCGGAGGUUGAUUGACAUACACUUCUUUUGAUAUAUAGUCAUUAAGAAAUGCGCUCUUGACAUCCAUUUGAUAUAGUUUGAUAGAAUGAUUUACAGCGAAAGAAACAAGUAAGUGAAUAGAUUCUAACCUGGCGACUGGGGCAAAGGUUUCAUUGUAGUCAGUGCCUUCUUGUUAACUGUACCCUUGAGCCACCGGUCGAGCUUUAUUUCUGACGACUUCGCCUUUCUCAUUUAGCUUGUUUCUGAACACCCAUCUUGUUCCAAUAAUGUGAGUGCCUUUGGGUUUAGGAACAAGAUCCUAGACGUCAUUCUUUGUGAAUUGAUCUAGCUCUUCUUGCAUGGCUAGAACCCAAUCGUCAUCUUGAAGUGCCUCAUCACAGGAAGUAGGCUCGAUCAGAGAUACUAGUCCCAGAGGGGUUUCUUCAAGUACCUUGAAGGUUGACCUAGUUCGGAUAGGUUCAUCCUUGUUUCCCAGAAUCAACUCUUCAGAUAUGUUGGGGUGACUUUUUGAUUUCUUUUGGAUCGUUGGGGAUUUAGUUCCUUCUGAACUUUGUAUAUCAGAUACUUCUGGUGCUUUUAUCUUCUCGUCAGAACUUGCAAGAGUAAUCUCCAGAUCUGCAAGUUUCUCAUCUAGCUUUGACUUUUCAGGGUCAAGCUUAUCAUCAAAUCUGACGUGAAUUGAUUCUUCCAUAAUUUUGGUUUCUGUAUUGUAUACUCUGUAGCCUUUAGAGCAUUCUGAGUAUCCUAACAUAAUACCUUUUUGUGCCUUUGAAUCGAACUUGUUCAGAUGUUCUUUAGUAUUCAGAAUAAAGCAAGAGCAUCCAAAAGGAUGAAAAUAAGAAAUGUUGGGUUUUCUUCCUUUACACAGUUCAUAGGGAGUCUUUUCCAGAAUAGGUCUUAUGGACUUAUGGAGAUUCUAUUCUGAAUAUAACACGCUGUAUUUACUGCUUCAGCCCAAAAGUGCUUAGCCACAUUUGUUUCAUUGAUCAUGGUUCUGGCCAUCUCUUGGAGUGUCCUAUUCUUCCUUUCUAUAACUCCAUUUUGUUGUGGAGUUCUAGGACAUGAGAAAUCAUGGGAUAUUCCAUUAGAGUCAAAUAAUUCUUCAAAAAAUUUAUUUUCAAAUUCUCCACCAUGAUCACUUCUGACUCUGAUGAUUUUAGAGUCAAAUUUGUUUUUCACUUUGGAACAGAAGUUAGUGAAUACAAAGUGAGACUCACUCUUGUGCUUUAAGAAUUUUACCCAUGUCCAGCGACUAAAAUCAUCAACAAUAACUAGUCCAUAUUUCUUUCCAUUGACUGAUGCUGUUUUAACAGGACCAAACAGAUCAAUGUGAAGAAGUUCCAGAGGCUUAGAGGUAGAAACAAUAUUUUUCUUUUUAAAAGAUGAUUUUGAAAAUUUUCCUUUCUGACAUGCUUCACAUAGAGCAUCUAAAGAAAACUUCAGCUUGGGUAGACCUCUGACUAGCUCGUGUUUAUUUAGCUGAGAUAACUUUCUCAUGCUAAUGUGGCCCAAGCGUCUAUGCCAUACCCAUUGCUCUUCAUGAACAGACAUUAAACAUUUUACAUUUUGUUCUUUUAAAUCUGAAAGAUUUAUUUUAUAAAUAUUGUUUUCCUCUUGCCAUUGAAUAGGACUGUUCCAUUGUUCUGAUUAUUGCUUUACAUGUUUUUGAUUGAAGAUUACAUCAUACUGUCGCAUCUCGAAAAAACGAUUCCCGCAUGGUCGCGGAAAAAUUACGUUGAACAAAGUCGCACCGAACUUUAUUUAUCCCAAUGAAGGAUAGGGAAUAUCGAAACCUUUAGGAAAUGGAAUAAUGGUCGUCGCAACCAUAUUCGGGUUCGGGAGUGGAUUACGCAAGAGGAAGGUAUUAGCACCCCUCGCGUCCGUUGUACUCAACGGGAACCUUUUAGUUCUAAUUUACAUUUCAAGUGUUAAUUUAUGUUUGUUUGUUAUCUUUGGGUUAUAAAAUUAUUAAAAAUAGAAAUGGAUGAGAACCUCAGAAAGGGAAAGGGGAGGUUUUUUAUUAGUGUGCUCGCGAAGAUACAACAAUCUCUUGCCUACGUAUCCUUAAAUAAGGAAAUCAGAGCAUUCGUAGUUCGGGGAACUACGGUUGGUUGGUGUCUUUUAGUGAACAACCGUUUAGAUCGCGUCCUAAAGGCUAAACGUUGGCUUGUCUACUCUCGGCGGAGGCUUAAGCACUAGUUUGUCAUGCGCAUUAGAAAGGAUUAAAUGGUGUUCUUUUUGAAAAUAGUUUUGGUCACACGGGGGUGACAAGUUGAGUUGAUAUGUUUGAUGUUUUGUUUGAUUGGUUCUGGUCGCACGAGGGCGAGAAAAGGAUAGACUUGAUGUGUUGGGAUGUUUUUUGUUGUAUGACGAUUACUCGGAUAGUCGAGUAAGACAACUCGUAUCCUAAUAAUCGGGAAAGGGAAUAGAAGACUCUAGACCGCCUUUUUUUCAUCCUUAAUUGUAAAAGGAUUUUAAUGAUAAUUAAUGUGUUUUGACUGGAUGACGAAUACUCGGAUAAUCGAGUAAGACAACUCGUAUCCUAAUAUUCGGGAAAGGGGAUAGAAGACUCUAGACCACUUUCUUUUUCAUCUAAGUGAUUAUAAAAAUAAGUUUAUGUAUGGUCGAUGUAUUUUAGAAUAAACGACAAGUACUUGAACGGCUGAGUAAGACAACUCAUAUCCAAGCAUUUGAGAAGAGGAAUUGAAAACUCAAGACCAUCUCCCUUUUCGUAUAGUUUUGAUUGACAAUGAUUUGACUUACGGUAAGAGUCGGCGGAAAAGUGACAAUUGUUCGAUUGGCCGAGUAAGAGAACUCGUAUUCAAACAAUUGGGGAGAGAAGUUGAAAACUCAAAGUCAUCUCCCUUUUCAUUUAACUUAUUAUGAAAAUAAUCCGAUUUAAUCGGAGUUUGGAAGUUGGUAUAGGAAUGACAAUUAUUUGACUAACCAAGUAAGAGAACUUGUAUUCAAAUAAUCGAGGAGAAAAAUUGAAGACUCAAAGUCAUCUCCUUUUUCAUUUCUUUAUUAUGAGAAUAAAUUGAUUUAAUUGUGUUUAGGUGAUUUAGCAAUGACGAUUAUUUGACUAACCGAGUAAGAGAACUCGUAUUCGAAUAAUCGAGAGGAGGAGUUGAAAACUCAAAACCAUCCCCCUUUUUAUUUCCAAAUGACAUAGCAUUUAAUUUAAUUUAAAAAUACUCGAUGUUGGAUCGAGGUUUGAAUUUGUGUUUGCGAAUAAAUUGGAUUACUUUGGUGUAUCAACCAUCUACUUGAUUAAUUAAUAACCGAAUAAGUCUCAUUGUAAGAAAGCCCAAGAGUAAGCUGUGUCAGGUUGAUGGCGAUGCUUUAAAAGCGAUCGACUUACAAAGGUGUAUGAAAAUGGGCUUCAGGUUAAAUCAAGAAUUGUGUGGUUCUAGUGGUUUAAAGUGGUUUUGAAUGGAUGAUGAAAUUAAAUGAAACCAAACUUGUGUUAUUAAGUGAUAAUGAAACUGUGAGUGUGGAAUAAAAUCGGUCCACUUUUAAUUAACAAAAAUUGAUUAAAAUUCAAUUAAGUCGUCUAAUUAAGGUAAUUAAAAUUAAUUAUCAAAAUUGUUCGAUUAAAAAUUAAUAUAAUCAAAUACUUAAAUUAAUUAAAAUUAGUUAACAAAAUUAUCCAAUUUAACCCAAACUUUAAUAAGUGACAAUGUUGAAUAAAAAUUGAAUUGAAUCGGCCAACGUGUGCUCAUAAACCGGUUUGUACAUAGCGACAACGGAGUUAGAAUGUCGUAUGUAAAGAUCGAAACGCGGUAAAAUAUCAUAUUGAUGUAUUGUAUCUUUGGUGGCAUAAUGGUAUGAAAUUACCGAAUUCACAGACUAAAAAUUCGAUUUAUUGUAAUAAAUAACAACAACGAAAAAUAAUCGAUUUAUUUACAAAAUUACCAAAUUGAUUAUAAUGUACCAAGGGUGCAAAAAGAACAUACAUCAACUUACCACAUACUCGAACCAAUAAAACAUUAAAAUCUUAAUUAACUUAAAGCAAAAAUUGGUGAUAAAUACAUAAUUAAAAUGGAUGAAAGAAAUUAUUUAAGCUUGUGGAAAAGAAACUUGUUUCUAAAAGAAACAAUCAUUAAAAGUAACAAUAAUAAAGUUAACAGGUUCAUGAUAACGUGUAUUUUCCAAUGAAUAUAAGGGAUUCUCCCUUUGUAACACCAACCACCCUUCAUUGAUACGGAAAACAAAAAAUAAAAGGUUAGAUCUAAAAUUUAAUCUAGAAAAAAAAAGCACUUAAUGGCUAGGGGAGAAAGAGUAACACAACGACAGUUUUGACAGAGGAAGGCACAAUAUGAACAGUAAAAUCGGAACCUAGCAUUCUAAAAACAAAGCUCAAACAAAACAUCCAGUUUUUAAUACGAGCAGUAAAACGGGAACCUAGCAUUCUAAAAAAAACAAAACUCAAACACAAAAUAAGACAUAACGAUACACCUCAAAGCGAAAUAUUACCGAAAAAGAUGUUGUUCAAAUAGUGCAACAGUGAGGCUCUUGUGUGCUAUAGAUCAUACCAAAACUCUGAUAGGAAUGUCAAGUUUCGGCUUGCUCGGCGACGUUAUGGUGGCGGUAGAAUGGUCGAUGGUCGUGUCGUUGUGAGCGUGUUGUUGUUGUGUUCGGUUUCGGCGGAAGUUUUUGUGUAUCACAAUUGUAUAGAUGGUGCCGACAGUUGAAAAUGGUGGCCGGAGAUUGCUUAAUGGUGAAAGUUGGGGUUGUUUGUGUUUGUCGAAAACGGAACGGCGGAGGAAUAAGGGUGUAGACAACGGGUGCGAUCGGCGAUUUGGCGGCGAGUUGGUUUUGCGGCGUGGAUUGUCGCCGGUGAUGGUUUAUGAGGAAGGAGAAGUUCUUUUCUUUUCCUUUUUUCUUUUCCUUUUUUCUUUUCACAGAGAGAGUGAGUGGUAGUGAGGUGAGUGAGAGUGAUCUUUUUUUAAGAAGAAGAGGCGUGUCCCUUUAUUUCUUGUUUUUGUUUCUUUCUUUAUCCUGUCAGAGUAACGUGUGAGAGAGUGUAGUGUGUGGGUGUGUCUAAGAGGAAACGUGAGGGAGAGAGGAAAGAUAGAGUGGGCAGUCUGAAUACCAGACGUAAAAAGAAGAAUCCAAUGCUAAUCUCAUUUUUUUUUUAAAACAACUACCAUUAUUUAAAAUUUCCUAUUAAAAAUUUCUAAUAAGUAUUUUGAAUAAAUUUUAAUUACUUUAGUUGAAUAAUUAACCUAAUAAAAUGAUCGAUUAUAAAUAAAAGUCGGAUAUAAAUUUGCUCGAAAAAUUAAAUCGGGCACACUAAAAUAAUCAGCACAAAAUAUACUUAUUGAAAAAAUACAGCGUUUCUUUAAAUUUUGAAAUAAAUUUGCACCGGUUAAAAGGCUCAGGCGGGUCAAAACGCAACUGAAACAGCUGCUGAAAAAUACAACGAGCACACCAGGUUAAACCAAAUGAACUGUAGAUUAAUAAUACUGGUCUCUGUAAUUUUAAUUCUGAAACUUUUUACCCGCUGAUUUUACAUGUUCCUGAGAAAAGAUUCAACCGAUUUGUCUGUAUUUUCAAUAAAUUUAUCCUGACUGAUAUUUCAGGUGUUACUAAUGAUAAAAUGCAUGUUAUGAUGUACAUAUGACGUAAACUGAAAAUUAAAUCGAAUUUUAUAAAAAUUUAAAUAUGCCCGGACAAAAUUGGGGUAUGACAGAUGCCCCUAUUUCAUUAUCUUGAACUAGAAGGUAAGAAUGACAACAGUCUUCAUACAUUCGUAGUGGAAGAUAAUUAAAUACGAAAAGACCCAAAUUUUGUCUUUUUGAAAUGCAAGGAAGAAAUGCAAUAUUUCAUUAUCUUGAACUAGAAGGUAAGAAUGACAACAGUCUUCAUACAUUCGUAGUGGAAGAUAAUUAAAUACGAAAAGACCCAAAUUUUGUCUUUUUGAAAUGCAAGGAAGAAAUGCAGAAAGAGAAUGCAGUGAGAAAUACAGUAAGAAAAGUUAUCAAAAAGGUAAAAUGAAAGAGUCGAGACUCUCUGGGAAUCGUCAGAACAGUAUCUUGGAUGUCAUAAUCGAGAUAUUCUGGUAAUGGAAUGAUACCUCAAUUGUAUCUAAGACUUUCUGAAAAUUAGCAGAACAUUGUCUUGAAUAGAAAACACAAUAUUCUCUAGGGAUCAACGGAGCAGUUUCUUACAUGAUAUAAUCGAGAUAUUCCAACAAGGGAAUGAUACCUCAAUCAUAUCUAAGAUUCUACGAGGAUACUUAGAGCAAUAUCUCUAACAAAAAUCUGAAAUGAGACUCUUCAUAUUGAUGAAGCAGCAUCUCAAACAGUAAAAGUGAGAUUCUCUGUAUCGGGUCGAAGCAGCAUCUUAUAUGAUAGAAUUAAGAUGUUCCAGCAAGGGAAAGAUAUAUUGAUGAAGCAGCAUCUCAAACAGUAAAAGUGAGAUUCUCUGUAUCGGGUCGAAGCAGCAUCUUAUAUGAUAGAAUUAAGAUGUUCCAGCAAGGGAAAGAUACCUUAAUCGAAUCUAAGACUCUUGAGGAUACUUAGAGCAGUAUCUCUAAAAAAUCUGAAAUUAGACUCUUCAUAUUGAUGAAGCAGCAUCUCAAACCGUAAAAGUGAGAUUCUCUGUAUCGGGUCGAAGUAGCAUCUUAUAUGAUAGAAUUAAGAUGUUUCAGAAAGGAAAAAAAAACCUUAAUUGAAUCUAAGACUCUCCGAGGAUACUUAGAGCAGUACCUCUAAAAAAUCUGAAAUGAGACUCUUCAUAUUGAUGAAGCAGUAUCUCAAACAGCAAAAAUGAGAUUCUCUAUAUCGAGUCGAAGCAGCAUCUUAUAUGACAGAAUUAAGAUAUUCCAAACAAGGGAAAGAUACCUUAAUUGAAUCUAAGACUCUCCGAGGAUACUUAGAGCAGUACCUCUAAAAAAUCUGAAAUGAGACUCUUCAUAUUGAUGAAGCAGCAUCUCAAACAGUAAAAGUGAGAUUCUCUGUAUCGGGUCGAAGCAGCAUCUUAUAUGAUAGAAUUAAGAUGUUCCAGCAAGGGAAAAAAUACCUAAUUGAAUCUAAGACUCUCGAGAUACAGAGCAGUACCUCUAAAAAAAUCUGAAAUGAGAAUCUUCAUAUUGAUGAAGCAGAUCUCAAACAGUAAAAUGAGAUUCUCUGUAUCGAGGUCGAAACAUGCAUCUUAUAUGAUAGAAUUAAGAUUGCCGACAAGGAAUGAUACCUUAAAUUGAAUCUCAGACUCUCCGAGGAUACUAGAGCAGUAUCUUAAAAACACAAUGCGAUUCUUCAAUUGAUGAAGCAUAUCUCAAAUAGAGAGAUGAGAUUCUUCAGAUAAAUGAAGCAGUAUCUCGAAUAUCGUCUGUUAGGGGAACUCUUAAGAAAAGACUCCUUUUGAGGGAGACAUACUGGAAAUGCUCUGCAGGGGAAAAAGCUCAUAAGAGACUUUUAGGGUACCUCUGCUUGGGGAGCGAUGAUUGUAAAGAAAAUUGCUGGGAAUAUCAUUAUUAAUCGUAAAGUCGAAAAAAUGAUUUACUGAGAUAUAAUCCCACGAGCAUAUGCAGGGUAAUAACUUCAUUUGGAAUGAGGUAUGUCCAAGAUAUACAUGAAUGACCUUGGGUCCUGACAUUUUACUUUUGAUUUUUGUAUGAUGUCCCACUUUAGGUGGGAAUACCAUGCAUGGGAUGGUUCAUGAGAUGCAUGCAAGUAUGCAAUUGCUGGGGAUAUUUGGAUGUGCAUGUAGGAAUGCGAAUGAUCUUUAUUUUGUAUAAGGUUAUGCAUAAGUAUGCUGAUGAUUGAUAUGACUGUGUUUUUUUUUUGAAUUUUCUGUUUGGUAGGAAAACCAUGUAUGGAUGAUUCGUGUGAUGCAUGUGGGAAUGCAAUUGGGUAAUUGGAUGUUUUUGUAGGGUUUAAUUCUUGGUUGCCAAUGAGGUUGGACUUUAAAUGGGAACUGCCAUAUGAGAACUGGUGAAGGAGACUGAACUGCCAGAUGAGGACAGCACCUGAAGGAUAUGUUACCAGACGUGAAGUGGUGAAAAUAAUUGAAAUGUCAGACGGGACUGAAUUUGUUUUUGGUUAUCAGACAGGAAUUGAUUUUUAAAGUAGGCUACCAGACGAGAACUGGUGAAAAUAAUUGACUACCAGAUGAGAACUGGUAUCGAAAUAGGUGACCUACCAGACGAGAACUGGUAUUAAGAGAUAAUUUACCAGACAAGAACUGGUAUUUGGCAAAUGAUUUUUCAUACAAGAACUGAUUUUUGAUAUAGUUUGCCAAACGGGAACUGGACUUUGGAAUAAGUUGCCAGACGAGAACUGAAAUUUGAAAUAAAUUGCCAGACGAGAACUGGGCUUUGAAAUAAAUUGCCAGACGGGAACUGGGCUUUGAAAUAAAUUGCCAGAUGGGAACUGGGCUUUGAAAUGAAUUGCCAGACGAGAAUUGGACUUUGACAUAAAUUGCCAGACGGGAAUUGGGCUUUGAAAUGAAUUGCCAGACGAGAACUGGACUUUGACAUAAAUUGCUAGACGGGAACUGGGCUUUAAAAUGAAUUGCCAGACAAAAAUUGGACUUUGACAUAAAUUGCCAGACGGGAACUGGGCUUUGAAAUGAAUUUCCAGACGAGGACUGGACUUUGACAUAUAUUGCCAGACGGGAACUGGGCUUUGAAAUGAAUUUCCAGACGGGAAUUGGGCUUUGGUGUCAGAUUUUGGGUUUCAAGGCUUUUUGAUGUCAGGUUCAUGUUAUGGGUUAUGCCUGAUAAAUGAUAUGAUAUGCAUGGCUUUAUGCUAGAGCAAAGCAUGUACUGAUUACGUACUACUACUAAAUUGUAAUGAUUGGAAGGUUUCCAAAAUGCCCCUGCGCGGGUAUUGGAAGAGAAGGUUUUUUUUUGCAGAAAGGCUUUUGUCUGUCAAAAGGUUAUUUUAUGGGGUGAUAACGUGAUUUCCCGACACUCAUCUUGAACUCUGCAGUCGAUGACGUGUGAAAAAAACUUUCCCUUGAACAGCUCGAAGUCAGGGAGAUGACUUGCUCCUAUAUGGCUCAUCUUGCCCCAAUGUGAUGGGUCUAUCCAAAAUGUUUACCUCGAAAGGAUUUUGAAAGCAAUUGUACCAUAAUUUGGAGAUGGAUUGCCCCAGAAUUUUGAUCCAUGAAAGGAUUUAUCCUUGGUUAACCGACUCUUGGAGUGGUUAACUUUUCUGUGCUCUUGAGGUAGCUUGCCCCGGUAUGAGCGUUGAAGCGACUUAACUCACCCUAACUGAACAUUGAAGGGGUCUGCCCCUGGCCAACAGAACCUCUAGGUGAUUUGCCCCUAGUUAAUAGAGUCCUGAGAUGAUUUGCUCUGGAUCAAUUGAUUCUUGAAAUGGUUUGCACAUUUAUUAACAGAUGUUGGAGACUAUUUAAGACUGACCAAUUCUUGGAGUAAUCUUCCUAUGACCAACUGAUGUUUAGGUGGCAUGUCUCAGAUUCAUAGGUUGUGAGGUAGUCUUGAUUCGGGUCAGCACCAACGAAUGUCCAAGUUCCUCUGAUUGUUCCUUAUUGUUGGAAUUUCCCUGACGUCAAGUACUGACUAGCAGUUAAAAUUGUUUGUUCAGAAAUGGUAAUUUUAAUGCGAUACUCAUGCAAGUUUUGAAAAGAAUUUAUUUGAAUGAUGUGAUAAUGUGAAACGAAUGGACCAUGAGUCCAAAUGUAAUGCUGAUUUAGCAAUUUAAAGUGUGAAAGACACAGUGAGAAUAAUGACAUCGAUGUUGAAGAUUAGCAAAUCUUUAGGAGUCAGUUUACGCAACCUUGAUGUAGUAUGCUUUCGGAAUAAACCCUACUUCAAUUAGGUCUUUUAAGGGUUGUAACGUGGCUUGGUUCAUGGUUAUCGAAACAAAGGAUAUGAGGCUCAAAAUUGUUUCUGUACCCACCCUUCUUCUUGAUAAACUCCAGUCCUACGCUCAGUUAAUUCACCAUACACAUUCAACUUUUAAGAGAGUUUGCAGGUGUAAGAUCUCUUGAAAUGACAGACACUUUAUUUUGCUCUUCAUGGAUAUUGGUGACCCUUUGAUUCUUGAUAUGGUGGUCACUAAAUCUUGUUUUUAUUUUGUUGAGGGUUUUCGUGACCUCCUUUCAUUUUUGUUUUGAUCCCUAACUUUUGCAUGGACCUAUUUUUGAAGCUUUAGUCCAUCGGGAUUGCCCCGGUUUUUGCCUAAGUCUCCUUUUGGGGUACGAAGGCAAAUCUUCACAACGCUUAGCACGCGCACCAAUCCGGAGGCUUCAUCGUCGUCUCAACGCAACGCACGAACUCCUCUUCACCUCCGUAUCCGCACAAAACCGGUGAGUUUUAUUCUCUUCGUCCCAAUGUCGAUUGUCGAUUAUUGGUGUGUCGUUCUCGCCAUCGCUUGUUCUCAAUGGGCACCGCGUAAUUUCGUUUCGAAGGUUUGGGCCACCUUAGUGACGUCGCGGUGGUGGUACUGAUACGCUUUGUUGAGAUAGGUGAAAAACAGGGUCUUAAUGGCUAAUGACUGUCAAACCCGACCAUGGAUUUUGUGGGAGACUUGGGCCUUUGGCUCAAGUAAUUUUCUGGAUUCACACCCCCAUCCGAAAAUCUCUCAACAUCAUUCCUUUCCCAUGGGGCCGAAACAGUGGCCCAUCUCAAAUGCUUGGACCCAAUUUCUUUGUUUAUUAUUUAGUUAGUAAUCAACUCUUAGGUUAAUUAGAUUAAUUAAAGGGUUAAGAGUUAAUUAGAUUAGAUUUUAGAUUACACUAAUUAUAAGAUUAGGAUUAAUUUUAGAUAAUAUUAGAAGUUUAGGUUGUUAGAAUUAAUUAGGAAUUUUAGAAAUCUAAUUAGGUUAAUAAGGUUAGGAUUUGAGAUUUAAUUAGAAAUUUAGCAUUUUUUUAUAAUUUUAAUUAGGGUUUUAUACUUUUGACUAGGUUAUGUUUAUAUUUUAACUAGGCUUAGUUAGUUUCUAAUUAGAAGUUGAUUUUUAGAAACUUCUCCCUAAUUAAUCCAUUUUUUGGCAUAUUGGCUAUUUUGCCCCUAGGUAGAAAAAUCUUGAUUUUUAUGCAUGCUCCCUUAGUUUAGGGCCUUAAUCAGAUUUAUCUGAUUUUUAUUUAGUUGAUUAUUU
rnacentral:lncRNA from 1 species